UCUUCCGUGGCGCAAUUGGCUAGCGCGUCUGACUGUUAAAUGGUAACAUUGCAAUCAGGAGGUUGACAGUUCAAGCCUGUCCGGGAGAG